rfam:Richelia intracellularis HH01, WGS project CAIY01000000 data, contig: 00077
GACCUGGACCUAUGCAACCAUGACACUUGAACUUUGUCAGGACCGGAAGGUAGCAGCAAUAAGAGACGCUUAUGGUAGGCUUAGUCUCCGGGUCGCC